rnacentral:rRNA from 1 species
GGGGGAAACCCUGAUGCAGCGACGCCGCGUGAAGGAAGAAGUAUCUCGGUAUGUAAACUUCUAUCAGCAGGGAAGAAAAUGACGGUACCUGACUAAGAAGCCCCGGCUAACUACGUGCCAGCAGCCGCGGUAAUACGUAGGGGGCAAGCGUUAUCCGGAUUUACUGGGUGUAAAGGGAGCGUAGACGGAGCAGCAAGUCUGAUGUGAAAGGCGGGGGCUCAACCCCCGGACUGCAUUGGAAACUGUUGAUCUUGAGUACCGGAGAGGUAAGCGGAAUUCCUAGUGUAGCGGUGAAAUGCGUGGAUAUUAGGAGGAACACC